ensembl:misc_RNA Metazoa_SRP Metazoan signal recognition particle RNA
GCUGGCGAGGUGGCACAUGCCUGCAGUCCCAGAUAUUCGGGAGGCUGAGGUGGGAGGAUCGCUUGAGUCCAGGAGUUCUGGGCUGUAGUGUGCUGUGCGGAUCGGGUGUCCGUACUAAGUUUGGCAUCGAUAUGGUGACCUCCCAGGAGUGGGGGACCACCAGAUUGCCUAAGGGGGGGUGAACCGGCCCAGGUCAGAAACAGAGCAAGUCAAAACUCCUGUGCUGAUCAGUAGUGGGAUCUCACCUGUGAAUAGCCACUGCACUCCAGCCUGGGCAAUGUAGCAAGACCCCAUCUCUU